rnacentral:lncRNA from 1 species
CGAGACGCCCGGUUCCGCGACCGCGCCGACGAACCACGCCAACGGCCUCGGCUCGGCCCGGCCACGCCGCUCAUGUCAUGUCAAUUACUGUCGUCUGCCAACGUGCGUUUGACAACCGGCAUCCUCUGUCCGUGGGUGACGUGGCUUACGUAUCCCUUUGGGCCUCUCGCUCGCGCGGCUCCUCUCGCGGACGAUCAGCUGCAUCGCCCACCCGCCCGCCCGCGCGCGCGGGCGCGUUUUCCAGCAACGCGUGUUUCGCCGUUCCAUUUCCAUUCAAUUGCUCGUUGCACAAGAGAUCGUUCGCGUCUUCUUCGUAUCAGGAUCGACUCCUUGUAUGCAUGAGCCGGAAUUGCAAAGCAUUUCUUCACAACUCGAUAUCGUUACGUUAUUUUAAAUCGGUGAGAUGACGUGAACGAGGUGAACUGUUCACAAUGAUGUCCGCCGGAAAGCGCGAAGAGGACAUCCUAGCUAGUGAAGUCAGCAAGAGCGGAAAUGAUCAACAACGAAGCAUAAUUCGAUCUUCGUGGGAGGCUGCACAGCGCGUAAAGAUAAACAUCCAUACGCAAGAAUAACAUCUUCCUGGUCCCUCUAAUCAUAACACUCGGAGAAUAUCCCGCGCGUAAGCGAGGAACACCGGUAGGAAAACAUUUUUGAUAGAGCUAUCGGAAAAAUGAGAGAGCAGUCUGACAAUUCAUCAAGGGGAGAUCAUUAUUCAUGACGUGAUGAGAAGAGAACUGGGUCACGUGUGAAACAGGGAAAGGAGUAAGAAUUUCCGGUUCUCAAGUAACUCAAAAAUUAUUAUUUACACGACAACGCAACAAUGAGAACCUUAAUAAAACAUGUCAUUUGUCAGCGGCGAGUUAUACAAAAUGGACAAUCCAUAAACUUUACAUGGAGGCACAUGUGAAACUUGCAAUACGGUUUAAAUGAACAAAUUCGCGUUCAAUGUUAUCCUAGCGGUUAUUGUAUGGUUACCUCGAAUUUGGAGCAAGUUUUGCAGAAAUCAACCUUUAUUGAUCUACACGAGGUAACAAUCACCCACUGCGGAGCUGCGAUGAUUGAUGCUGCACUAUAUAGCCUAAAUCUUGCUUUAUUACAAUGUAAAAUCUCAGUUGCCUGCACGACAAUUAGUAUCGCGAAAUUUUUAUUUUCAAUUACUCUACAAAAAGUAUACAAAAUAUGACACGAUAUCUGCUUACGAUAUGCGAUUAGAACGUGUUAUCGCUCGUAAAACUAUGCCUACGUUUAUUGCCGACUGGGAAAUAUAUUGCUAGAGAAAUACCUAUACCUUUGCAGAAUACAAAUAUCUAAAUAAUAUUGAUGAAAAUACGAUAUGUAAAUGGAAAAAUUUAUACAUAGAAAUUUGCAACUCUAUGGUAGUUGUUUCAAAAUCGGAAAGCUACAAGACAACUUUAUUAAUUAAACUGACGGAACUAUGUCUUCUAAUAUUGAUAGCCCCUUCCAAGAAGAUUCUAGCUUACAUAAUUUUACAAGACAUCAUAAAUAAUUACAAUCUGUAAUAAAUAUAUAAGUCAUAAAACGCUAUAACUAUAAACUAUAAACGACUAAACGAUAAAGAAAUAAUAUACUAAGUAACAUAACUAUGAUAUUAAAUAUGAUAUUAAAAGAUAAGUUUAUAUAAAUAUAUAUGAUGUAUAAGUGACGGAAUAUAUUUUAAUUUACAUGCUUAGAUUGCAAAGUUUUGGUAUUAACAUUUCGAAUAAAUAAUUAAUGCAUUCAUAUUAUAAUCAUAAAUGACUAAAAGUACUUUUGCAAGAUUUCCUAAUUCGACAAAUUUUUCUUAAUCAAUAUAAUUCAUUAAAAUAAUCAUAAAUAAUCAUAUCUUUAUGUGGAGAAUUUUGUUAAAAAGACACGCUAGAGAGAAAUGUUAAGAAUCUUACGCCUUCCAUGUUAAUAAUAUUAUAUAUUAUUUAAAAAUAUAUUUUCGUAUGUUUGAUUAUCGAAUGAGAUUAUGUAUAAUGAGGAUAAGAUAAAAUAUUAUACAUGAUAUGAUGCAAACAGAUGAAAUAAGGUAUAAAAUUGAUAUAACUUCUGAUCCGAGUUAAUUACAAUAAAUAAGUGAAAAUUAAGUGCCUUAUAUCCCUAUUUUAUGUUCAUCUCAGUACAAGUGUAAUAUGUAACAAUUGGUUUAUAUUUUAUUUGUAGAAUUCUAUGAAGAUCCUAAAAUAUAGUCUGCUAAUGCAUUAC